CCAUUUUCUUCCUGCCGUGGACGGACAUGUGGGAGCUAGGAAAUCGUCUGUCGUGUUCAAGUCACAUCUCAGAUAUGAUUAAAAUAACUUCCAUGAUGGAUGGGAUUGAAAACGCCGGUGCCGUGACCGUCGCACUGUGCUUUCAGAGAAAACCGAGAGGUAAACGAGGAAGGAGGUGAUGAGUGGUUGCUGCAGCAGUGACCCGACUCCAUGUCUACUGAAAAGAGCAUAUUCUAAUGGUCACUUGCCUAGAAGACGGCUUAUCGUGACACAGAAGUGAUGCAGUUUGGAGAGAUUGGCAUGUCUGAAAAUGAGGACUUUGAAAGAAAAGUCCGCUUAAUCCUACCAGAAUUUUCAGUCAAAUGUGGGUUGAGAUGAUGAUGAUGAUGGAAGAGGAGCAGAGGGUUUCGCUGGGAAAUACCUGAGUAAAGGUGAGGGGGGAAUGCCUCGAUCUUCCUUCUGACUUCUUUGCCAGACUCAGUUAACACAAAGGUGCCCCACCACAAACCCAACGGUUCAUGAUCUCCACAAAGGAUUUGAAAGAUGCACUCAUGAGGAUUUGUCAUGGAGCUCAAGAAGUCAGACCUGGGGGGUAAAGUCUGUGUGUUUUGGAAGGAACUGCAGUUUCAACACUAAUGAAAAAUGAAUAAAGUACUAAUUGUAAUUUUCUUCAAGAUGUAAUUGUCUUGUGGGAUUUGGGUCGUUACUAAAUAUAUAUUAUCCAAUGAAACAACUUAAAUCUCCUACGAGAGUUCCAGAGCCAUAAACUGACAUGCCUUGUUGGCUGAUGUGGGCUGUGAGUUCCCUUGUGUAGUUUGUAGGUUUCUGUAGGACAAGCGCGUCAAGUAAAUGCAAACUACUCAACACUGUAUCCAAGGAAUUUAGAAUGAAAGAAGUACUUCAGCUGUGUGCUCAGAUUUGUAAAUGUGUAUAUUUGUUAAACUUGCAUUCAAAUCUAGCUAUAGCAAAAAUUGAAGUGUGUAAUGACCAUUUGCUAAUGUGUAUACAAACUUGCAAAUAUGUUAUCAAACCACAAGUUAACAAAUGUAUUCCUGUCUUAAGUUUUGUACCGGCCUAGCUCUUAAUACUUUUACACCUUGGUUUCCUUGUGUUCCUUGAUUGACUCGCCUGUCGGAUGAAUAGUCUUCUGUAUGGCACCAGGAAAUGGGCUGGAAGAUGAUAAAUUUCACAAAUGGCUUGUAUACUGAGUUAUAGAUUGGUACAUCACAGAUGAACUGAUAAAACUUUCUUACCUGGUUUAUUGGAAAUGUAUAAAGACAAAAAGAUGUACAUAUAUUCCCUAAUGUGCGUAUAAUAAACUGGAUACAAAAGUCCUGGUUUUUAUGUUAUGUUUUUAUUUGUUAUGGCAGUGCACUGCUCAGCUGUUUUCUGUCCAGAUUAAAGCCUCUGAUUCUGGGAUUUUGAGGCAGUGGUGGAAAGUAAAGUACAGGCACUUUGUUACUGUACUGCAUUUUUCAAGCUUCUGUUCUCAAGUACGUUAAACUUUGGGGACUUUAGACUUGCACUGUAUUUCCAACACAGUUGUGUCAUUGAAGUUU